rnacentral:rRNA from 1 species
UACGAAGGGUGCAAGCGUUACUCGGAAUUACUGGGCGUAAAGCGUGCGUAGGCGGUUUGUUAAGUCUGUCGUGAAAGCCCCGGGCUCAACCUGGGAAUGGCGAUGGAUACUGGCGAGCUAGAGUACGGUAGAGGAGAGUGGAAUUCCCGGUGUAGCAGUGAAAUGCGUAGAGAUCGGGAAGAACAUCAGUGGCGAAGGCGGCCUGCUGGGCUGUUGCUGACGCUGAGGCGCGACAGCGUGGGGAGCAAACAGG